rnacentral:rRNA from 1 species
UACGUAGGGCGCAAGCGUUAUCCGGAAUUAUUGGGCGUAAAGAGCUCGUAGGCGGUUUGUCGCGUCUGCCGUGAAAGUCCGGGGCUCAACUCCGGAUCUGCGGUGGGUACGGGCAGUCUAGAGUGAUGUAGGGGAGACUGGAAUUCCUGGUGUAGCGGUGAAAUGCGCAGAUAUCAGGAGGAACACCGAUGGCGAAGGCAGUGGUCUGGGCCGAUACUGACGCUGAGGAGCGAAAGCGUGGGGAGCAAACAGG